ACAGGUGCAGUGUAGGCUGCAGGGAGGAGAAGAAGUGGGAUAAAAUAAUUCAGGUAGAGUGAGUUUAAAGCUAUGACUUGUACCCUUUACAGCCUUUAAUUACCCAUCUACUGUAGGAACGCACCUUGUUACCAGUUUUUCCAGAACCCAACAAGACAUCGUGAGAAAGCAACAGGGAUACCAGGCAAAGAGAAAGGAAAAUGGCUGAGGCUCCAAAGAUUGAGCUCUUUGUUAAGGCCAGUGAUGAUGCUGAAAGUGUUGGAAACUGCCCAUUCUGUCAAAGGCUCUUUAUGAUUCUUUGGCUGAAGGGGGUUAAUUUCACCCUGACCACCGUCGACAUGAGGAGGUAAGAAAUAUAUUUUCUCAAGAGCCCCAUCUUUGUAUGGGUGAC